AAAUAAAUUUUGCUCUCUUUACUCUCAAAUAAGUAUGCUUGUAAUGGUUAUUUGUUUCUAUAUAAAAUAAUUAACAAACAUUAUUUAUCAUUUAAAUAUUACUUAUGUAGUAUUCACCAAAUGGAAAACUAUUUCGAAAAAAUUAAGAUUUCUAAAAAUAUGGUGGUAUACUUGCUUAUAAUAAUAAUUUUUAUGGAAUUAAUCCUUGCAUCUCAUCUUGUUUCAACAUAUAAAAGCUGCUUUAGAUACAGUACUUGAAAUGUUAAGACGUGUUAAGACAUAAUUUGGAUUGAAUAAUUGCGAGAAAGCUCUGUAGUAAUUGAUUUUUGUAUAAUAAUUGCAAUUUGUUAACAAUUUUAAUAAUAAUGAAUGUCAAAAUUGA